rnacentral:rRNA from 1 species
CCCUGCACUCUGGGAUAAGCCUGGGAAACUGGGUCUAAUACUGGAUAUGACCUUUCUCCUUAUGGGGUUUGGUGGAAAGUUUUUCGGUGUAGGAUGAGCCCGCGGCCUAUCAGCUUGUUGGUGGGGUGAUGGCCUACCAAGGCGACGACGGGUAGCCGGCCUGAGAGGGUGAUCGGCCACAUUGGGACUGAGAUACGGCCCAG